rnacentral:tRNA from 1 species
GCUCUUGUAGCUCAGUCGGCAGAGCGCGUCCUUGGUAAGGACGAGGUCAGCAGUUCAAUCCUGCUCAAGAGCUCCA